UGGCUCUCGCAUCGAUGAAGAACGCAGCGAAAUGUGAUAAGUAAUGUGAAUUGCAGAAUUCAGUGAAUCAUCGAAUCUUUGAACGCACCUUGCGCUCUCUGGUAUUCCGGAGAGCAUGCCUGUUUGAGUGUCAUGAACUCUUCAACCCUCCAGUUCCUUGUUGGACUGUGUGGUGUUUGGAUUUUGAACGCUUUGCAAGAGUUUACUCUUGCUCGUUCGUAAUACAUUAGCCAUCUCGAUAUCCUGUAUUCGGAUUGACUCAGCGUAAUAGACUAUUCGCUGAGGACACCUCUCGUGGGUGGCCGAAUUGGAUGAGGAGAAGCUACCAACCCUUCUAGUCAAACCUUUGAUUUAGACCUCAGAUCAGGCAGGAUUACCCGCUGA
rnacentral:misc_RNA from 1 species